GGUAGAGCGUUCGCUUUGCAUGUGAAAGGCCCCGGGCCCCCCCCCCGUGGAUGAUAUGAGGAUGGGAGUCCUGUGCAGUGAACAGAUCAUGUUGACGGAACGUCCGCAUUAAGCUUACCAUAAACAUGGGCACAACGGAGGAGUCCGAUGUGUUCAGGUUGUCUAAGGAGAGAUGUAUUGGGCCAGGGGUGAAAACCAGCAGCCAAGAGUCUCCGUGGUAAGCAGUAAUGGGAUAGCG
rnacentral:SRP_RNA from 1 species